rnacentral:rRNA from 1 species
UCCGUAGGUGGAUAAUUAAGUCAGGGGUGAAAGUCUGCAGCUCAACUGUAGAAUUGCCUUUGAUACUGGUUAUCUUGAAUUAUUAUGAAGUAGUUAGAAUAUGUAGUGUAGCGGUGAAAUGCAUAGAUAUUACAUAGAAUACCAAUUGCGAAGGCAGAUUACUAAUAAUGUACUGACACUGAGGGACGAAAGCGUGGGGAGCGAACAGGAUUAGAUACCCUGGUAGUC